GUAAUAAAGAACCGAAAACUUAAAUAAAAAUAAAAAAAAUAAGAGCAAAACAAGAAUACUCUUUAUAAUUUUUUUAAUUGUGAUAAAUUUUCAAAUAAUUUACAAUUUUACUAUAUUUAUUAGAAUGAUGAUAUUUUUUGUUAUUUUUGUCAAAUUAUAUUUAUUACUUAUUUAUAAUAAAUUGUACUUUGUUGAGAUAUUUAACUUUUAUUGAAAAAUUCAACAUGUAUUUAAUUACGAUAAUUUAUUAAAUUAGUUUGAUCUGCAUUUGUUCUGCUUGAUCUGCAUGAUCUGCAUUUGUUCUGUUUGAUCUGCGUUUAUUUGAACUGUGUUCCAUUCGAAGCCCUUAUUCUCUCCCCUAUUAAACGCUCUCAGCUUUCUCGUUCCCGCCCUCAACUGUUCACGUUGUAGCUGAAGGAUCAAAUUCAAGUGUUUUGAACCUGAGUGGAUAUAAGCACUAAUGGUCACAACCAGUAAGUGACUCUUUGUUUUUUAUAAGCUUACUGUCUUAGUAAGUAAAAUCAUAGGAGAAAGCUAGUAUUUGAGAGAAUGAAGAACUCUCGUCUCUAUAAAUAGUAAUGAUAAAUCAUAUAUUUUUGUA